UGAGGAAUAUUGGUCAAUGGACGCAAGUCUGAACCAGCCAAGUAGCGUGCAGGAUGACGGCCCUAUGGGUUGUAAACUGCUUUUAUAUGGGGAUAAAGUGGGGAACGUGUUCCCUUUUGCAGGUACCAUAUGAAUAAGGACCGGCUAAUUCCGUGCCAGCUGCCGCGGUAAUACGGAAGGUUCGGGCGUUAUCCGGAUUUAUUGGGUUUAAAGGGAGCGUAGGCCGUUUGGUAAGCGUGUUGUGAAAUGUAGGAGCUCAACUUCUAGAUUGCAGCGCGAACUGUCAGACUUGAGUGCGCACAACGUAGGCGGAAUUCAUGGUGUAGCGGUGAAAUGCUUAGAUAUCAUGAAGAACUCCGAUUGCGAAGGCAGCUUACGGGAGCGCAACUGACGCUGAAGCUCGAAGGUGCGGGUAUCGAACAGG
rnacentral:rRNA from 1 species